rnacentral:rRNA from 1 species
UACGGGGGGAGCAAGCGUUGUUCGGAUUUACUGGGCGUAAAGGGCGCGUAGGCGGCAUGACAAGUCACUUGUGAAAUCUCCGGGCUUAACUCGGAACGGUCAAGUGAUACUGUCGGACUAGAGUACAGAAGGGGCAACUGGAAUUCUCGGUGUAGCGGUGAAAUGCGUAGAUAUCGAGAGGAACACCUGCGGCGAAGGCGGGUUGCUGGGCUGAUACUGACGCUGAGGCGCGAAAGCCAGGGGAGCGAACGGG